GACGAACGCUGGCGGCGUGCCUAAUACAUGCAAGUCGAACGCACGAAGUUGAAGAGCUUGCUCUUUAACCAAGUGAGUGGCGGACGGGUGAGUAACACGUGGGUAACCUGCCCAUUAGAGGGGGAUAACAUUCGGAAACGGAUGCUAAUACCGCAUAGUUUCAGGGAUCGCAUGAUUCUUGAAGGAAAGGUGGCUUCGGCUACCACUAAUGGAUGGACCCGCGGCGUAUUAGCUAGUUGGUGAGGUAAUGGCUCACCAAGGCAAUGAUACGUAGCCGACCUGAGAGGGUGAUCGGCCACACUGGGACUGAGACACGGCCCAGACUCCUACGGGAGGCAGCAGUAGGGAAUCUUCCGCAAUGGACGAAAGUCUGACGGAGCAACGCCGCGUGAGUGAAGAAGGUUUUCGGAUCGUAAAACUCUGUUGUUAAAGAAGAACAAGGAUGAGAGUAACUGCUCAUCCCCUGACGGUAUUUAACCAGAAAGCCACGGCUAACUACGUGCCAGCAGCCGCGGUAAUACGUAGGUGGCAAGCGUUGUCCGGAUUUAUUGGGCGUAAAGCGAGCGCAGGCGGUUCUUUAAGUCUGAUGUGAAAGCCCCCGGCUCAACCGGGGAGGGUCAUUGGAAACUGGAGAACUUGAGUGCAGAAGAGGAGAGUGGAAUUCCACGUGUAGCGGUGAAAUGCGUAGAUAUGUGGAGGAACACCAGUGGCGAAGGCGACUCUCUGGUCUGUAACUGACGCUGAGGCUCGAAAGCGUGGGGAGCAAACAGG
rnacentral:rRNA from 1 species